UAGCUGGUCUGAGAGGACGAUCAGCCACACUGGGACUGAGACACGGCCCAGACUCUACGGGAGGCUGCAGCAGGGAAUAUUGCGCAAUGAGCGAAAGCUUGACGCAGCGACACCGCGUGUGGGAUGACGGAUCUAGGUUUGUAAACCACUUUCAGGAGGGAAGAAAAUGACGGUACCUCCACAAGAAGCCCCGGCCAACUACGUGCCAGCAGCCGCGGUAAUACGUAGGGGGCGAGCGUUGUCCGGAUUUAUUGGGCGUAAAGAGCUCGUAGGCGGUUCAACAAGUCGGUCGUAAAAGUUCAGGGCUCAACCCUGAAAUGUCGAUCGAUACUGUUGUGACUAGGAUACGGUAGAGGUGAGUGGAAUUCCGAGUGUAGCGGUGAAAUGCGUAGAUAUUCGGAGGAACACCAAUUGCGAAGGCAGCUCACUGGGCCGCUAUCGACGCUGAGGAGCGAAAGCUAGGGGAGCAAACAGGAUUAGAUACCCUGGUAGUCCUAGCUGUAAACGAUGGAUACUAGACGUAGGAACUGGAUUGACGGUUUCUGUGUCGUAGCUAACGCGUUAAGUAUCCCGCCUGGGGAGUACGGUCGCAAGACUAAAACUCAAAGGAAUUGACGGGACCCCGCACAAGCGGCGGAGCAUGCGGCUUAAUUCGAUGAUACCCGUAGAACCUUACCUGGACUUGACAUAUAGGGUCUAGCUAUAGAGAUAUAGUGUGCAUUAGCGCCCUAUACAGGUGGUGCAUGGCUGUCGUCAGCUCGUGUCGUGAGAUGUUGGGUUAAGUCCCGCAACGA
rnacentral:rRNA from 1 species